UGUUGCACAUCAUCGACGGUUCAGCAUGCUAAAGAAUAGGACAGAAGGAAUCCAAGGAGGGAUGGUCGAGCUUUUGGCUCGACUAAACCACCUGUGACUUCAUGCGGUUCCCUCUUCUUCCUUCUUCAACGAUGGAGACCAUGUCUGCAUACGGAGGAAAAUCGUGCUCAAACAAAGAUAAAGGUACACUUCAAAGAAUUGUCUGAGAGCACAAGAAUUGGAGGGCCACGCCACAAAUCAAUUCAACCUCCAAGUCCAAGUAAAAAGACACUUCUGACAAAUCAGAGGCAGAUACAAGGAUCCAAGGGCCAAAUGACAUACCAAACCAAACAAAACUUCAAGGGAACACAAAGGAGCAACACCAGGGCCCACCUAUCAGUUGUCCAGAGGAAGGAGGGCCCGAGGGGGCGCCAUUUGGGGCCGGCCGACCCAUUGGGUAGUCGGACCCCUUACUAAGCCCAAAUAGGCCCAUCUUUUGCAUGCAGACUCCCACCACACUACCUAUGCCAGCCCCCCAUGGUUCCACCUCGGAAGUUCACUCAAGGAUCGACCCUUGGAGGGCUAUGUAAGGAGGAGGAGGAGAGCCCCCCCAUUCAACACACAACAAGAGAAGCAAAGAGGUCCACUCCAAGGCGAAGUCGUAGUGCUUAGAAAUGGGAAGAGAGUGAGGGGUAGUUCGGAGGGGCGCCGGCCUGUCGGCGCUCUUCUCCAACUUGUACCUCGACGGAUGCUUCUUUCUUAAGUAAGUGUUCGUGAUCUUC